GAACGCUGGCGGCGUGCCUAAUACAUGCAAGUAGAACGCACAGGAUGCACCGUAGUUUACUACACCGUAUUCUGUGAGUUGCGAACGGGUGAGUAACGCGUAGGUAACCUGCCUGGUAGUGGGGGAUAACUAUUGGAAACGAUAGCUAAUACCGCAUAAGAACAUUUACUGCAUGGUAGAUGUUUAAAAGGUGCAAAAGCAUCACUACCAGAUGGACCUGCGUUGUAUUAGCUAGUUGGUGAGGUAACGGCUCACCAAGGCAACGAUACAUAGCCGACCUGAGAGGGUGAUCGGCCACACUGGGACUGAGACACGGCCCAGACUCCUACGGGAGGCAGCAGUAGGGAAUCUUCGGCAAUGGGGGGAACCCUGACCGAGCAACGCCGCGUGAGUGAAGAAGGUUUUCGGAUCGUAAAGCUCUGUUGUUAAGGAAGAACGUGUGUGAGAGUGGAAAGUUCACACA
rnacentral:rRNA from 1 species